GUUGUAUAGUCAAGUAAUUAAGUGCAUGUGGUGGAUGCCUUGGCAGUCAGAGGCGAUGAAAGACGUGAUAGCCUGCGAAAAGCUCCGGGGAGGCGGCAAAUAUCCUUUGAUCCGGAGAUGUCUGAAUGGGGGAACCCACCUACUUUAAGGUAGGUAUUGCAACAUGAAUACAUAGUGUUGCAAGGCGAACGAGGGGAAGUGAAACAUCUCAGUACCCUUAGGAAAAGAAAUCAAUUGAGAUUCCCUCAGUAGCGGCGAGCGAACGGGGAUCAGCCCAUUAAGUUAUGUGUGUUUUAGUGGAACGCUCUGGGAAGUGCGAACGUAGAGGGUGAUAUUCCCGUACACGAAAGGGCACACAUAAUGAUGACGAGUAGGGCGAGGCACGUGAAACCUUGUCUGAAUAUGGGGGGACCAUCCUCCAAGGCUAAAUACUCCUGACUGACCGAUAGUGAACCAGUACCGUGAGGGAAAGGCGAAAAGAACCCCUGUGAGGGGAGUGAAAUAGAUCCUGAAACCGCAUGCAUACAAGCAGUGGGAGCACCUUCGUGGUGUGACUGCGUACCUUUUGUAUAAUGGGUCAGCGACUUAUAUUCAGUAGCAGGUUAACCGUAUAGGGGAGCCGUAGAGAAAUCGAGUCUUAAUAGGGCGUUUAGUUGCUGGGUAUAGACCCGAAACCAGGCGAUCUAUCCAUGAGCAGGUUGAAGGUUGGGUAACACUAACUGGAGGACCGAACCCACUGUCGUUGAAAAGCCAGGGGAUGACUUGUGGAUAGGGGUGAAAGGCUAAUCAAGCCUGGUGAUAGCUGGUUCUCCCCGAAAGCUAUUUAGGUAGCGCCUCGGACGAAUACCAUAGGGGGUAGAGCACUGUUUCGGCUAGGGGGUCAUCCCGACUUACCAAACCGAUGCAAACUCCGAAUACCUAUGAGUACUAUCCGGGAGACAGACUGCGGGUGCUAACGUCCGUAGUCAAGAGGAAAACAAUCCAGACCGCCAGCUAAGGCCCCAAAAUCAUAGUUAAGUGGGAAACGAUGUGGGAAGGCAUAGACAGCUAGGAGGUUGGCUUAGAAGCAGCCACCCUUUAAAGAAAGCGUAAUAGCUCACUAGUCGAGUCGGCCUGCGCGGAAGAUGUAACGGGGCUAAAACUAUGUGCCGAAGCUGCGGAUGUAUACUUUGUAUACGUGGUAGGGGAGCGUUCUGUAAGCCGAUGAAGGUGUGUUGAGAAGCAUGCUGGAGGUAUCAGAAGUGCGAAUGCUGACGUGAGUAACGACAAAACGGGUGAAAAACCCGUUCGCCGAAAGACCAAGGGUUCCAGUCCAACGUUAAUCGGGGCUGGGUGAGUCGACCCCUAAGGCGAGGCCGAAAGGCGUAGUCGAUGGGAAAAUGGUUAAUAUUCCAUUACUUCUGUGUAAUGCGAUGAGAGGACGGAGAAGGCUAAAUCAGCCUGGCGUUGGUUGUCCAGGUGAAAGGAUGUAGGCAUGUAUCUUAGGCAAAUCCGGGGUACUCUAUGCUGAGAUCUGAUAGCAAGCUGUACUUGUACAGCGAAGUGGUUGAUGCCAUGCUUCCAGGAAAAGUCUCUAAGCUUCAGUUACACAGGAAUCGUACCCGAAACCGACACAGGUGGUCAGGUCGAGUAGACCAAGGCGCUUGAGAGAACUCUGCUGAAGGAACUAGGCAAAAUGGUACCGUAACUUCGGGAGAAGGUACGCUGUUGUUGGUGAUGGAACUCGCUUCCUGAGCUGACGACAGCCGCAGAAACCAGGCCGCUGCAACUGUUUAUUAAAAACAUAGCACUCUGCAAACACGAAAGUGGACGUAUAGGGUGUGAUGCCUGCCCGGUGCUGGAAGGUUAAUUGAUGGGGUUAGCGUAAGCGAAGCUCUUGAUCGAAGCCCCAGUAAACGGCGGCCGUAACUAUAACGGUCCUAAGGUAGCGAAAUUCCUUGUCGGGUAAGUUCCGACCUGCACGAAUGGCAUAAUGAUGGCGGCGCUGUCUCCAGCAGAGGCUCAGUGAAAUCGAAAUCGCUGUGAAGAUGCAGUGUACCCGCGGCUAGACGGAAAGACCCCGUGAACCUUUACUGCAGCUUGACACUGAACUUUGACCUUACUUGUGUAGGAUAGGUGGGAGGCUUUGAAGCUGGAACGCUAGUUCCAGUGGAGCCGUCCUUGAAAUACCACCCUGGUAAUGUUGAGGUUCUAACUCUGUCCCGUGAUCCGGGACGAGGACCGUGUCUGGUGGGUAGUUUGACUGGGGCGGUCUCCUCCUAAAGAGUAACGGAGGAGUACGAAGGUGCGCUCAGCGUGGUCGGAAAUCACGCGUAGAGUAUAAAGGCAAAAGCGCGCUUAACUGCGAGACCCACAAGUCGAGCAGGUACGAAAGUAGGUCUUAGUGAUCCGGUGGUUCUGUAUGGAAGGGCCAUCGCUCAACGGAUAAAAGGUACUCUGGGGAUAACAGGCUGAUACCGCCCAAGAGUUCAUAUCGACGGCGGUGUUUGGCACCUCGAUGUCGGCUCAUCUCAUCCUGGGGCUGAAGCAGGUCCCAAGGGUAUGGCUGUUCGCCAUUUAAAGAGGUACGCGAGCUGGGUUUAGAACGUCGUGAGACAGUUCGGUCCCUAUCUACCGUGGGCGCUGGAAAUUUGAGAGGAUCUGCUCCUAGUACGAGAGGACCAGAGUGGACGAACCUCUGGUGUACCGGUUGUGACGCCAGUCGCAUCGCCGGGUAGCUAUGUUCGGAAGGGAUAACCGCUGAAAGCAUCUAAGCGGGAAGCCUACCUCAAGAUAAGAUUUCCCUAGGACUUUAUGUCCUCUAAAGAGCCGUUCGAGACUAGGACGUUGAUAGGUUGGAUGUGGAAGCAUAGUGAUAUGUGAAGCUGACCAAUACUAAUUGCUCGUGAGGCUUGACUAUACAACACCCAAGCAGUUG
rnacentral:rRNA from 1 species